rnacentral:rRNA from 1 species
AUGUGCGGCUGCGCGGAGGCGCUCGUGAGGGCGGUGGUCGCCUUCUUCGACGCCGUCCUCGUCGACUGCUUCCUCUCCUGGUUCCGCCGCCGCCGCCCCGGCCCCGACAGCCCCGCCUCCGCCCACCGGGAUCCGCUCGUGCCCAAGGGCCGGGGAGGGGAGGCGCUCCCGGCCUCGGACGAGGAGAAAGGUUUUGCAGAGAGCACAGGGUCGAAUGAGCAGUUGGCAGGUGGCGAUGACACCGAUGAGGAGCUUAGGAGAGAGGCAGUUCACCUCCAGUUGUACGGCACAAUAUCGCAAACCCCGGCUGAACUUUGGAAUGUGUCAUAUGAAAGUAAUUCUGAAUCCGCUAAUGAGUCUGAUGACAUGUCCAUCAAUGCACUGGCAAUGGGAGGAACUGGAUUUAAUUCAUCUGGAUGCUUCAAAUGCGAGGAGGAUUUGAUGAGUGAACUUGAAGUUUCACGAGAUAAAUCACUUGAUUCUGUUCCUCGAUCAGUUCUCCGCAAUAAGUCCCCAUUCUGGAGCAUGCAGAAUAGGUUCUCUGACUGCAAUGGUUCACCCUUCCCGACACCUUUGGUUCUCAGAGAUGAUAUGCAGACCCCUGGAACAAUGUAUGCUUCACUCACAGGGUCUACUAUGUCUAGGAAGCGUGUGCGCACCCGCAAACAAUUUGUCUAUCCUGUCUUGAGACCCAUUGAGAACAAGCUUCAGCAAGUGGAACCGUCAGAAGAUUCUUCACCAAUGCUGCCCUCCAGUUCUCCAAAACGUACAAAUUUGGGAGCUGAUCAUAUCAAGAAACUGCAGCAGACCUCUUCGAAUUCAGUCACUAAGGUGGGAUUCUCAAAAUCUCUGCCAUUCAGUUUUCCCAGUGAGAAUGCUUCAUACCAAGAAAAAGGAUCACCCCCUUCGGAGGAGUCGAAGUGCCAAACCAGAAGCCCAAAUCUGUUGGAUGGUGGAGCUCUAUCAAAAUCAAAUUCAGGUGAAAAGCGUGCUGCAAUGAGUCUGACCCACUGGCUGAAACCUUCAUCCACAGACAAUGAGAAUCAAGGCGUUGUCACUUCAUCUGCUUCCGACCAACUGCAUGAUGAGAUCGCGCUUUUCACGGAGAGCCCUGUCUUCACGGCAGCUUCUGGGAUGGACGCAGAUGUCGAGAACCCUACUCCAAGGUUUCCCAAGGCAUGGGACGGCAACGGCAUUCCAAACACAACCACCAAGUACAAGGAGGAUCAAAAGGUCAGCUGGCAUGCGACACCGUUCGAGGAGAGGCUGCUGAGGGUUCUGUCGGAUGAGCAGCCUAGCGCUCCGAGGAAGCUUAUCAGAGGAGACUUGUUCCUUGUAGAGGAGGAGACUUGA